GACGAACGCUGGCGGCGUGCUUAACACAUGCAAGUCGAACGCUGAAGCUCAGCUUUUGUUGGGUGGAUGAGUGGCGAACGGGUGAGUAACACGUGAGUAACCUGCCCCCUUCUUUGGGAUAACGCCCGGAAACGGGUGCUAAUACUGGAUAUUCACUGGUCUUCGCAUGGGGGUUGGUGGAAAGGGUUUUUCUGGUGGGGGAUGGGCUCGCGGCCUAUCAGCUUGUUGGUGGGGUGAUGGCCUACCAAGGCUUUGACGGGUAGCCGGCCUGAGAGGGUGACCGGUCACAUUGGGACUGAGAUACGGCCCAGACUCCUACGGGAGGCGGCAGUGUGGAAUAUUGCGCAAUGGGCGCAAGCCUGAUGCAGCGACGCCGCGUGAGGGAUGGAGGCCUUCGGGUUGUGAACCUCUUUCGCUCAUGGUCAAGCCGCAACAAUGGUUGUGGUGAGGGUAGUGGGUAAAGAAGCGCCGGCUAACUACGUG
rnacentral:rRNA from 1 species